rnacentral:rRNA from 1 species
UACGGAGGGGGCUAGCGUUGUUCGGAAUUACUGGGCGUAAAGCGCACGUAGGCGGCUUUGUAAGUUAGAGGUGAAAGCCCGGGGCUCAACUCUGGAAUUGCCUUUGAGACUGAGUGGCUUGAGUACGAGAGAGGUGAGUGGAAUUCCCAGUGUAGAGGUGAAAUUCGUAGAUAUUGGGAAGAACACCGGUGGCGAAGGCGGCGACCUGGUCCGACACUGACACUGAGAGACGAAAGGCUAGGGGAGCGAAUGGG